rnacentral:rRNA from 1 species
GACGCACUCUGGCGGCGUGCUUACACAUGCAAGUCGAACGGUAAGGCUCCAGCUUGCUGGGGUACACGAGUGGCGAACGGGUGAGUAACACGUGGGUGACCUGCCCUGCACUUCGGGAUAAGCCUGGGAAACUGGGUCUAAUACCGGAUAGGACCGCACCGUGAGGGUGUGGUGGAAAGUUUUUUCGGUGUGGGAUGGGCCCGCGGCCUAUCAGCUUGUUGGUGGGGUAAUGGCCUACCAAGGCGGCGACGGGUAGCCGGCCUGAGAGGGUGGACGGCCACAUUGGGACUGAGACACGGCCCAGACUCCUACGGGAGGCAGCAGUGGGGAAUAUUGCACAAUGGGCGGAAGCCUGAUGCAGCGACGCCGCGUGGGGGAUGACGGCCUUCGGGUUGUAAACUCCUUUCACCAUCGACGAAGGGUUUCUGACGGUAGAUGGAGAAGAAGCACCGGCUAACUACGUGCCAGCAGCCGCGGUAAUACGUAGGGUGCGAGCGUUGUCCGGAAUUACUGGGCGUAAAGAGCUCGUAGGUGGUUUGUCGCGUCGUCUGUGAAAUUCCGGGGCUUAACUCCGGGCGUGCAGGCGAUACGGGCAUAACUUGAGUACUGUAGGGGAGACUGGAAUUCCUGGUGUAGCGGUGAAAUGCGCAGAUAUCAGGAGGAACACCGGUGGCGAAGGCGGGUCUCUGGGCAGUAACUGACGCUGAGGAGCGAAAGCAUGGGGAGCGAACAGGAUUAGAUACCCUGGUAGUCCAUGCCGUAAACGGUGGGCGCUAGGUGUGGGUUUCCUUCCACGGGAUCCGUGCCGUAGCUAACGCAUUAAGCGCCCCGCCUGGGGAGUACGGCCGCAAGGCUAAAACUCAAAGGAAUUGACGGGGGCCCGCACAAGCGGCGGAGCAUGUGGAUUAAUUCGAUGCAACGCGAAGAACCUUACCUGGGCUUGACAUAUACAGGAUCGCGCCAGAGAUGGUGUUUCCCUUGUGGCUUGUAUACAGGUGGUGCAUGGUUGUCGUCAGCUCGUGUCGUGAGAUGUUGGGUUAAGUCCCGCAACGAGCGCAACCCUUGUCUUAUGUUGCCAGCACGUUGUGGUGGGGACUCGUAAGAAACUGCCGGGGUUAACUCGGAGGAAGGUGGGGAUGACGUCAAAUCAUCAUGCCCCUUAUGUCCAGGGCUUCACACAUGCUACAAUGGUCGGUACAGUGGGUUGCCAGUCCGUGAGGGCGAGCUAAUCCCGCAAAGCCGGUCUCAGUUCGGAUCGGGGUCUGCAACUCGACCCCGUGAAGUCGGAGUCGCUAGUAAUCGCAGAUCAGCAACGCUGCGGUGAAUACGUUCCCGGGCCU